CCGCUCUGUCUCCGAGGCCGGCCUCAUGGCUGAAGUCAUGGCGGCUUCUCUCCGACCCGAGGGCGGCGGGCGGCCUCAGGCCUGUGGCGAUCAGAGAGGCUGCGGAGGCCUUUCUUGGGCAUCAGCAGAGAGAGCGAGCAGCAGACCUGCAGGUGGAGGCUUCAAAAGUAAUGAAACGGAGCCCUAAAAGGAAUUAAAUGUGUUGGCCGUGGACUUGGAAAAAAAGUCACAUGAAAACGAUCAUCUUAAGCUGUUCAGUGUAAGGGUCUUCGUGAUGAAAUUUCUAUAAACGGACAGCCGCAGCCUCGGUUUGUGAGGCAGAAAUGAUCCUCCAGGAGACAGUAACCAGCAGCAGCGUGUGCCAGCUGCGCUGGAGGCGGCGGGCUUAUUCUCGUGUGUCUGCAGUGUGAGACACAGAGCUGAACUGCUUUCCUGAAGCAAGCGACAGUUGCUCUCCUGCUGCUGGUGGCCUCCCAGUGGUGCCAGACAGGAUCAGCAAGCCUCUGCCGCUCGUUGCUCAUGUCUGUAAAGUAAUCCCCCAAAAGGAGAAUCAUUUCAGAGUUCUUUGGACUUUUAUCUUCAAAAGUAGCCAAAGAAUUCGAGUGACUACGUUUAUCCCAGAAAAUCUCGGGCAGUUAGUGAAAUUAGAGUUAUGACUAAGAACGUUGGGAACACCCCAGUUUCGUAUUCAUGUAUUGGCGGGACUGGAGCGAUUGUAAAUUGAAGGUAAUUAACGUGUAUAUGCUCUUUUGUGGGAAGUGAAGGGGAAACAGGUGCUUGGCCUAGAAAAACAUUUCUUGGGAGUGGCUUUUGAAGCACAAAUAAAAAUUUUUUAAAAUGA